rnacentral:tRNA from 5 species
UGGCGGGAUAGCUCAGCUGGCUAGAGCAUUCGGUUCAUACCCGAAGGGUCGCAAGUUCGAAUCUUGUUCCCGCUACCAU